UUGGAGUAAAACACGGUGGAAGCUGAAUUAGUGAGGAUGACUCCUGCUCCUGUCAUCUCUAAGCUCCUCACACAUCUUUACCUGCACAUGAGGAAAAUCACUCCUGUAGAAUGCAGUGGUUCAUCAGAACCUCUGGGGAUGUCCUGUGGAUUCUGUGGAUCCUGUGGGUUGCAGGGUGGGUCCUACCUAGACCAGGCUGAUCCUGGACCAUCCCACAGAUGCUCAGUCAGAUCUGGAUGUGGGGAGUGUGGAACCCAGAUGUUCAGAGGGAGAUGAUGCCACAUCUGGUCCAGCUGAUGGAAGGUCUUGAAGUUCUCUGACUGGCCUCGACUGAAGAUGGUCGUCUCACUGGAUUUAAGGUUCAGAUGCUCAGUAACAAACUCCACCAAUGUGCCAACAGGGAAGCUUUAGGUUUAUUAAAUGUUGCUAUGAAGGUAUCACUGUUUUUCUUUGUGAAUGCAAUGUGCUCCAACUGAAACUUGAAUUAGAACUUAGAAGUAAAUCCUUCCAUCUGAAAGGAUUUAGUUGCAUUAAUAACCUCAUAACAUUCUAAUUUUCAUUCCAGUCUUGGUUGGAAAUAGAAUCUCUGUAUUGAUUCAGGUAAAAACUGAACUUCACAGCAUGUUGGAGCAAAACAACCAGAUGAAAACUGUGAUGGUGUUGGAUUGUCAGACCGUAAUGUUGCAGCUCAAAGCAGCUUUUCUAGCUCAGUUCAUUCUGACAUUCAGCUAUGAAUCAACACAGCAGAUGGUGAUCCAUGCUGUGGAAGUCUCACAUCUCCUGAUUUAAUGGAGCUGCUUUGCACUUUUUACACUGUUUAUUCACCAACACUUUAUUUAAUAAAAGUCCCAUCUAGUUUUUAUGAGGAAUGUGAUGUUUUAAUUUCUCUGUGAAUAACUGCAGUCUAAUGCAACAGCUGGAGUUGUAACAUCUGUCCUGAUAUUGAUCAUGAAGUAUUGAUCAGAAUACUUAUGGUUAGCAGUCAUCCCUGAAGUUUUACAUUAAAAUCUUUACUUGUGUUGUGAACUUUGGUAAGAAGCAGAAACGUUAGCGUUGCCAUGGAUACAUGAGUGUUAAAUUCUGUCCAUGUUUCCAUUUUGGGAAAUUCAGUCCAGUUCCAGAAUGUGGAGGAAUUUAGUCUCACAAUCACAGACAACAAAUAUUAUCUGAAAGUCGGGUUAUUGUUGUUUAUCAGCACAAUACAAAAAGAUUAAUGUUAGAAAUAUUCCAUUUAAGACUCUAGAAUAUCAUGAUUUAUGUAACUUUACCUCAAUAAUAUAAAUGUUCAGGUUAAGAUUGUACAGUGAUAUUUAUUAUGUAAGUUUAGCUGAUUAAAGUUUAUGACUCUGCACUAAAAUAUUAUUUAAAUUGACAUCAUUAUUAUAAUAUUUAGGGUCAGACCCUACAGUAUUGAGAUUAAGAAAUCAAAUAUUCUAUAAAAUGUAAAUACACUGAACUCAUUUGGAUAUAUUUAAGUGAGACUCUACAAUAUUAUUUGACACAAAUCUAUCUAAAUCAAAAUUUUAAUAAUUUUCACGCCAAACAUUUACUGGACUGAUUUAAACAUUAAAAUCACUUCUUUCUUAUCCUCUGCUGUACGUUCAAACCUGAGGCCUUAAAUAGAAACACAAGUAUCUGAUUGAAGGAACUUCUGCAGAGUCCUGGUUCCAGAACAUGAUGAUAGAAUUAUAGACAAACUUUAACAAAAGCUGCCUGAGAGUUUACAGGUUUUUAUGUUGGAUUUCUUCAGUAGUUUAAUGAGCAUUAUCAGCAAUAAUCAAGUGUUCAUUUGAUGAACUUCAUUUCCUAAAACAUACAGAAUUGGAGCUCAUAUCUUUGGCAGCUGUAAAGUUUCUGCUCCUUCAAAGUUCACAACACAAUGAAUGAAUUCCUAAAACACUCUCAAUGCUGGAGAGCGUUUGAUGCUGAAGCAGUGAUCAGUUUUUCUGUUUCUUCUCUGGAGAUGCACAAUGAGGGACGUCUGCAGAGACUGAGAAAGAGUCUCACCACAUCCUGACAUGAGGAAAAAGACUUUAUUGAAGACUACAAUGAGAAAAACUAUCAGACAGCAGACGGCUGCAUUCAAGAGAAGAAGACCAUCAAACAUCCAUGUCAGCUGAUGGAGGUCCAAGAGUCUCACCAAACAAACAACCUACAGAGUGAAGACCUCAAAUCUGAUUGGACAGCCUCCUAUUCAGCCAUGUGUGAACAAAUGCCUCUAAGCUGAUUU